GGUUCUUUUCCAGAUGAAGGUUGGU
rnacentral:piRNA from 1 species